UUCCCGCAGAAUUACAGAAAGGAAGACAGAAGGAAGGAAGGAAGGAAGAAAGAAAAAAAAGAAAGAAAG
rnacentral:ribozyme from 1 species